GCAUAAGUGCCAGAUUUAAUGGGUUGAUUUUAAGCGUCAAUUAUAGGGUAUUACUAAUCCUCAUAUGUA
rnacentral:tRNA from 1 species